GAGGAUAUAAUAAAAAUGAACUGCAGAUGUUGGAUAAUACCAAAGAUGGAUACGGAGUUCUGGAGUAACUCAG